rnacentral:tRNA from 1 species
GUGUGCGACGCCGAAGUGGUCGAGGCCCUUGGUUGUGAUCCAAGGUUCAGCGGGUUCAAGUCCCGCCGCACACUCCA